rnacentral:rRNA from 1 species
AACCUACCCUCAGGUCUGGGACAACUCCGGGAAACUGGAGCUAAUACCGGAUAAGACCACAGAGUCCUCGGGCUCGGUGGAAAAAGAUGGCCUCUUCUUGAAAGCUAUUGCCUGUAGAUGAGCCCGCGUACCAUUAGCUUGUUGGUGAGGUAACGGCUCACCAGGCGACGAUGGUUAGCUGGUCUGAGAGGAUGAUCAGCCACACUGGAACUGAGACACGGUCCAG